ensembl:rRNA 5S_rRNA 5S ribosomal RNA
GUCUAUGGGCAUACCACGCUGAACCUGCCCAAUCUCCUCUAAUCUCGGAACCUAAGCAGGGUUGGGCCUGGUUAGUACUUGAAUGGGAUAAUGCUCAGGAAUACCGUGUGCUGUAGGCA